rnacentral:misc_RNA from 1 species
GAUGAAGAACGCAGCGAAUUGCGAUAAGUAAUGUGAAUUGCAGAAUUCAGUGAAUCAUCGAAUCUUUGAACGCACAUUGCGCCCUUUGGUAUUCCUUAGGGCAUGCCUGUUCGAGCGUCAUUUAAACCUUCAAGCUCAGCUUGGUGUUGGGUGACUGUCCGCUUCACCGCGGACUCGCCUCAAAAUUAUUGGCGGCCGGUACAUUGGCUUCGAGCGCAGCAGAAACGCGAACUCGGGCCCGUCGUAUUGGCUCCCAGAAGCUAUCUUCACAAUUUUGACCUCGGAUCAGGUAGGGAUACCCGCUGAACUUAAGCAUAUCAAUAAGCGGAGGA